CCUACGGGAGGCAGCAGUGAGGAAUAUUGGUCAAUGGACGAGAGUCUGAACCAGCCAAGUAGCGUGAAGGAUGACUGCCCUAUGGGUUGUAAACUUCUUUUAUAUGGGAAUAAAACGUUCCACGUGUGGGAUUUUGUAUGUACCAUAUGAAUAAGGAUCGGCUAACUCCGUGCCAGCAGCCGCGGUAAUACGGAGGAUCCGAGCGUUAUCCGGAUUUAUUGGGUUUAAAGGGAGCGUAGGUGGAUUGUUAAGUCAGUUGUGAAAGUCAGCGGCUCAACCGUAAAAUUGCAGUUGAAACUGGCAGUCUUGAGUACAGUAGAGGUAGGCGGAAUUCGUGGUGUAGCGGUGAAAUGCUUAGAUAUCACGAAGAACUCCGAUUGCGAAGGCAGUUCACUGGACUGCAACUGACACUGAGGCUCGAAAGUGUGGGUAUCAAACAGGAUUAGAUACCCCUGUAGUC
rnacentral:rRNA from 1 species